rnacentral:rRNA from 1 species
UGCUCAAUGAUUUAUUAUUAAAUAGCCGCAGUAUCUUGACUGUGCGAAGGUAGCAUAAUCAUUUGUCUUUUAAUUAAAGGCUUGUAUGAAUGGUUGGAUGAGGGAAUUACUUUCUUUAUAUUAAAAAGUUGAAUUUAAUUUUUAAGUUAAAAAGCUUAAAUUUUUAAGUGGGACGAGAAGACCCUAUAGAAUUUUAUUAUAAAUUUUAUAUUUAAUUUAUGGUUAUUUUUAUUAUUUAUUUGGGUUGUAAUUUUAUUGGGGUGAUAUUGAGAUUAAAAAAACUCUCAUAAUUUAAUAUUUAAUUAUUUUUAUUUUUAGGAUCCUAUUUUAUGGAUAUUUAGAUUAAAUUACCUUAGGGAUAACAGCGUAAUUUUUCUGGAGAGUUCUUAUCGAUGGAAAAGUUUGCGACCUCGAUGUUGGAUUAAAAUUAGAUUUAAGUGCAGAAGCUUAA